rnacentral:rRNA from 1 species
UACGAAGGGGGCUAGCGUUGUUCGGAAUUACUGGGCGUAAAGCGCACGUAGGCGGAUCGAUCAGUCAGGGGUGAAAUCCCAGAGCUCAACUCUGGAACUGCCUUUGAUACUGUCGAUCUGGAGUAUGGAAGAGGUGAGUGGAAUUCCGAGUGUAGAGGUGAAAUUCGUAGAUAUUCGGAGGAACACCAGUGGCGAAGGCGGCUCACUGGUCCAUUACUGACGCUGAGGUGCGAAAGCGUGGGGGAGCAAACAGG